rnacentral:rRNA from 1 species
AUUGAACGCUGGCGGCAGGCCUAACACAUGCAAGUCGAACGAGUGGCGGACGGGUGAGUAAUGUCUGGGAAACUGCCUGAUGGAGGGGGCUAACUACUGGCAACGGUAGCUAAUACCGCAUACCAUCAGAUUUUCCCAGAUGGGAUUAGCUAGUUGGUGGGGUAACGGCUCACCAAGGCGACGAUCCCUAGCUGGGCUGAGAGGAUGACCAGCCACACUGGAACUGAGACACGGUCCAGACUCCUACGGGAGGCAGCAGUGGGGAAUAUGGCACAAUGGGCGCAAGCCGGAUGCAGCCAUGCCGCGUGUAUGAAGAAGGCCGUCGGGUUGUAAAGUACUUUCAGCGGGGAGGCGUUACCCGCAGAAGAAGCACCGGCUAACUCCGUGCCAGCCGCCGCGGUAAUUC